AACCUCCGCAAUGUGAGAAAUCGCGACGGGGGGAUCCCAAGUGCCAUUCUUAACGGGAUGGCUUUUCAUUAGUGUAAAGAGCUUUUGGAAUAAGGGCUGGGCAAGACCGGUGCCAGCCGCCGCGGUAACACCGGCAGCUCUAGUGGUAGCAAUUUUUAUUGGGCCUAAAGCGUCCGUAGCCGGUUUAAUAAGUCUCUGGUGAAAUCCUGCAGCUUAACUGUGGGAAUUGCUGGAGGUACUAUUAGACUUGAGACCGGGAGAGGUUGGAGGUACUCCCAGGGUAGAGGUGAAAUUCUGUAAUCCUGGGAGGACCGCCUGUUGCGAAGGCGUCUAACUGGAACGGUUCUGACGGUGAGGGACGAAAGUUAGGGGCGCGAACCGGAUUAGAUACCCGGGUAGUCCUAACUGUAAACGAUGCGGACUUGGUGUUGGGGUGGCUUUGAGCUGCUCCAGUGCCGAAGGGAAGCUGUUAAGUCCGCCGCCUGGGAAGUACGGUCGCAAGACUGAAACUUAAAGGAAUU
rnacentral:rRNA from 1 species